GCAACAAAUUGAACAAAGACAAGAACAGCUGCAGCAGGCAGAGCUCACCUUCAGACACCAGAUUGCAGUUCAUGAGAAGAAUGCUCAGCACAACUGGAUCAAGACUCAGAUCUGGGACAGGGAGAUGGCAGAGCAGAGCAGGGAGGUCGCCUACUUGAAAUACGGGUGUGGCCAUUUGACUGGCAUUUUUAUGGAUGUUUCGA